rnacentral:lncRNA from 1 species
CUCCUUCGCCAAAACUUGCCUCGGUUUCUCUCUCUGUCUUAUGCCCCUCAGUCGUAUUCUUUCUUCUGUGGAGGCAAGAGCUGAGGUUGCUGCAGACCUGCUAGCAAUUUCUCAGACUCCAAGUUUCCAGUCUUCCCUGGACAGCUUUCUUGACGUGUAGCCGCAGAAGCAGACGGCAAGCAGUCCCACGGUUUCCAACCCAGCACCACCGAGCAGAUAUAUAAAGGUAGGUUUGAGUUAUGCACGUCAGUCAGUUCCAUUAUUUUAUAAUUAAGCCACACUUUUUAUUUAAUUACUAUAUGCUCAAUUUAUCGAAUUUGAUUAAAUAACCUCUGAGUAUUAUCAAAAGAUAAAUCCACUUCCCAAAGAUACGGAUUUGUCACCAUGGAGGAGAUCCCAGUUUCAGACUACAUCUCUUUUCCAGGCAAAGUUUCAAAUUCUUUUCCUCAGGAGACAUCCAAAGAUGUCUUCAGAGAAAAGACCUGCAGAUACUGGCAUUAGGGGUUACAUAAAGAAAAAGAGCAGCUCCCUCCUGAGUUCCCUGGAGUGAGUUCCCGAAAACAGCCCAGAGUUUCCAAUCAGCAUCUUAGUGUCCAAGGACCAGCAGAUAACGUGAAAAAUUAUCCCAUGAUGAAAGAGUAAGUCAAUAAUAAAGCAAAAUGUGGGGACAGAGAUAAUUCAGGAAGCAGAAGAAAACUGAAAAAAAUGAGUGUAAAUUAUCAGAAAAAUAAAAACAAACUACUGAUAACAACAGGAAUGCCAUGAAAAAUGAACAAUUAGAAAACAGUGACAACUAGAACAAUUUAAAAAGUCCUUGAAAAUUAAGAAAAAAUUACGAUAGUCAAAAAUUCUAAUACAACAGGAAAAGUUUAGGAAAUCUGUCAAAAAAAAAAAAAAAAGAACAAGGAAAACUACAAGACAUGGAGAAUCAUUGCAAGAAAUUUCACUUUCUAGAAAAAAUGGCACAAGAGUGGGGAGACAGAAAAAACCUGGAGAAAAAGUUAUAAAAGCACUAAUACAGGAAAAUUUCCCCAAACUAAAAGACUUGAGUCCUCAAAAUCCUU